AUGUGGGCGCGGCCGGUGCGCGGAAUCUUCGACACUGCGAUUCUUCCGCAACAUCCGCACUCCAGCGGGCGACUGCUCGCUACGUUUUGUCAGCC
rnacentral:sRNA from 2 species